GGGGUGGGGGCAAGGCACGGGGGGUGGGUCCCUGAGCCCCAAGGAGCCUCCGAGGCAAGGCCUAGGGAAGCUGAAGCCUGGAGGAGGCCAGAAGGAGCCUGGGGAGGUGUCCCUUAAGUCUCCCCCAAGGCUCCUGUAGGGUCUCCUAAAAAGGCAGGCCAUGUCCCUCCCCAUGUCCCUUCGCCCCCCUCAGACUGGUCUGUCAAGAGCAAGGCCGUGUCUCCACUUUCAGUAGGCUCCCAAGAGCCGGGCUCUGACUUUCCCGUCAGUCGUCAGUCUAAGGCUCCCCUCCUAGCCCGGCCUUCCCCCAGAGCCUGGCCCCACCCAGCCGCCCACCUGCUCCUCACUGUCUUCACCGUGAAGAACUUCUGCAGCCCACCUGCUCUCAGCCUGCUCCACUUUCCUCCUGCCUAUUUAAAUUUUACCUCUCUACAAAGCCAAGUUUAAAGCCCAUCUCUUCUAGGAAGCUUUCCCUGCCUGAUGUCCUCCUGCACUCCAGUCUUCCCAUGCUACUAGACAUCAUGUCCAGAAGGAACUGGGCCCGAGACUGUCACCCAUCACGUCUUCCUGCUAGUGGAGAAUCCCAGAGGGCAGGGACCGCCUCUCGGGUGUCUUUUACUCCCACUCCCUCGCUCUGCUCCCCUAUCACUGGGUUGUCUGCAGGUGUUGGAGGGAUGGAUUGGGAGGGAUGGAUGGAUGGAUGGAUGGAUGGAUGGAUGGAUGGAUAAAACAAUGGACACAGAUAGGAGAUUGGGCAGACCAACAAAUGGGUGGAUUGAUGGUCCAGUAGGGAGACUGGCAAACAGCUAGAAGGACGGAUAAAUGAGUGGGUGUAAGGACCAACAGACAAACACGUAGUUACAUCAACGGACGGAUACAUGCAUUCAUGCAUUCAUGGAUGCAUGGGUGGAGGAUGGAACAAUGGACACACAGGUAGUUAUGUGAGCUAAUAAAUGAGUAGAUUGAUGGCUCAGUUGAUAGGGAGAUAGGUGGGUGGACAGGUGGAUGGAUGGAUGGAUGGAUGGAUGGAUGGAUGGAUGAGUGGAUGUAGGAAUCAAUGGGCAGAUGGGUGGUUGGGAGACCAUAGGAUGGAUGGAUGGAUGGAUGGUUGGAUGGAUGGAUGGAUGGGUUGAUAAGCGUCCAUACAAAUGGGUUGGCGAGUGUUUGGACAAGAGAGCAGAAACCUUUGCUGAAGAAGCAUGCAGAAGGGUUGGGCUGUCCUGGCUGAGCCCAUGAUUCAGUUUCCCCCCGGAUAGCUGGUCAUACCCCGCCCUACCUUCCUGGCACUGCUCUUCAUCACUCCCAUUGAGACAGUCAGGCUGCCGGUCACAGACUCUGGACAGUGAGAUGCACGUGCUGUCUUCUUGGCACUGGAAUGUGGCUCUGCAAACUGCGUGGGGACACACAGAAGGGGCAGGAUAAAAUUCCAAGUCUGAAUUGUGGCCCCAGUCAGCUGGGAGCUGUGAGACCCUAGCAAGUCCAGGUCCUUCGCGAACCUCACUUUCUGCCCUUAUAAGAUAAGGGGACUGUCAUCUCUGUCGACUCCAACUCCGACAGGCUUCAGUGCAUACACAGAGGCAAGGAUCCUUGGCUGGGCUACUCUGUGUAGACAGGAGAGUACGCUCCCCUUGUGCUCGGUGUCGGGGAGGGGGCCACAGCGUGCCCUGCUCAGGCGUUGUCCUUCCCACUAAGAAGCCUCCACAGCCCUGGGGUCUCCCUGUGACUCUCCGGACCUGAGGGAGACACCACUUCUGCUCCCAGGACCGACACAAAAGCACAGUGGUGAGGGGCGUCACCGGCUCCGCGCAUGGCCGCACUAAGGUGGGACCGUUCCCCAGCCACGGGAGGACCCUCACACCCCUGCUGGACUCCCCCACCCCAACAUGACACUCUUGUUCCCACAGAGCAGGUGGGACACCCUCCACAGAGGGAUGAAGUUCUUCCCAGAGAGCAGCCAGGAAUCUUCCCAUCUCCAGGGAUGGAGGGCUUCAUCCCACGUGGUGUCUGGGCACACCUUGCCUCACGGAGCAAGUGGGCACGCUUUCACCAAGUGGGGGCAACCACUCCCCCAGAGCGAUGGGCUGCUCCCCAGACAGCCUGGGGUUCCCUCCCUCCGCAGGUGGGACACCCUCACAGAGCAGAUGGGUCAGUCCCCUCAGCUCAGAGGAAUGCGCCCCACAGGGAAGGGAGCACCCUCACAGAGGAAAUAGGAGCACCUUUACAGACAAGGGAAGCACACCAAGAACAAAAGGCAGAGAAGAGGCAGCGAGAAGUGAAAGUGCCCGCAGCAGAGAAGGCAGGGGGAAGUCAAGUGACCAGGUGGGAAUGCCCCAAAGCAUGAUGGGAGCAUCCCACACCAGAUUCAGCAGCCCACAGAGCUGGUCACCUAACUCCCGGGGGGCCAGGUACCUCCUCAGAGCUUCUAGAAUACGGCAUGCGCUUCAUAGUUCAAUUACUCAGUCAACGAGCUAAUCCACAAACAACUGAGAAAGAUUUGAGGUGGUCUUGUCCGGCCCCUCCCUCUUGGACAGCAAUCACCGCACAGAGAUUUGGGGGUUCUGGCAGCAACUCCGUCUUGAGAGACAGGAAUUGUUCUCGUCCCACGUUCCAGAGGAGGUUCGUGAAGGGAAUGGUGGAGGAUACGAUGGAAUUUUCCAGAGACCACGUGAUGUGUGAGACGGUAACCGAUUGAAGGCAGACACAGAGCUGUAUAUCCAGUUCUGGUCUAUUAAUCCGGUUUAAGAGAACGUUGCAAAAAGGUCAAGUGAUGAUAGUUUUCUCGCCAGAUGCUUUUGGUUUUGGGGAAUAUAAUGAGUUUUUUCUAAAAUAUGUGAUUUAUGUUAAAAUUGUAAUGGGCUUAUUUUAAAUGAAUUGAUAAAGGUUUUGACAUUUUCUUAGUUUUAAUGUCUAACACUGUAAAUAUAGAUAAUAUAACCUGUACAAAAGCCCUUUGGGGUGCCCAGUAAUUUUAAAGAGUGUAAAGGGAUCCCGAGGUGGAAAAUUUUGAGAAGGCCUGCUCUACACCAAGAUUGCUCCUGCCCAGGGGGACAAGAUGGGGACGAGAUGCCACUAGGGGGCACCCCCGAGCAGGCCUGGCCCUUGUUGGCCUUUUAAGAAAGUAAGGAAAGGGAGUUUGGGCCGUCUCUUGGUCUGUCUGUUUUUAUUUAUUUAUUUUUUUUUUUUGUUUUUAUUUUUUAUUUAUUCGACAGAGAUAGAGACAGCCAGCGAGAGAGGGAACA